AGAACGAACGCUGGCGGCAUGCCUAACACAUGCAAGUCGAACGCUCUUGGGGCUUCGGUCUCAGGGGAGUGGCGCACGGGUGAGUAGCGCGUGGGAACCUGCCCUGUUGUGGGGGAUAACCGAGGGAAACUUCGGCUAAUACCGCAUAAGCCGGUUGUCUUGAAGGAGAUGGCCGGGAAAGAUUUAUCGCGACAGGAGGGGCCCGCGUCGGAUUAGCUAGUUGGUGGGGUAACGGCCCACCAAGGCGGUGAUCCGUAGCUGGUCUGAGAGGAUGAUCAGCCACACUGGGACUGAGACACGGCCCAGACUCCUACGGGAGGCAGCAGUGGGGAAUAUUGGACAAUGGGCGCAAGCCUGAUCCAGCAAUGCCGCGUGAGUGAUGAAGGCCUUAGGGUUGUAAAGCUCUUUCGCUAGGGACGAUAAUGACGGUACCUAGACAAGAACGCCCCGGCUAACUUCGCGCCAGCAGCCGCGGUAA
rnacentral:rRNA from 1 species